CUGCUCAUGUAUAUUAAUAGCCGCGGUAUUUUGACCGUGCGAAGGUAGCAUAAUAAAUAGUCCAUUUAAUGUGGUCUGGAAUGAAGGGUUUAACGAAGAGUAACUUUCUUAUUUUUAUUGAUGAAUUUGAAUUAUUAGUGAGAAUGCUAAUAUGAAUUAGGGGGACGAGAAGACCCUAUAGAGCUUUAUAUGUAGAUUGUGUUUGUUGGGAAGAAAGCAAAAAUAUAUUUUGUUGGGGCGACAAUUAAUAAUAAACAUUAUAUAUAAUUUCUUAUUUUAAAGGGGAGAUGAUCCAUUAUUAAUGAUUAUUAGACUAAGUUACCUUAGGGAUAACAGCGUAAUUUUAUUUUAGAGUUCUUAUCGAUAAUAAAGUUUGCGACCUCGAUGUUGGAUUAGAAUUCCCCUAGAAGGCGCAGGAGUUGAGAGGGGUAGUCUGUUCGACUAUUAAAAUUCUACAUGAUCUGAGUUCAAACCGGAGA
rnacentral:rRNA from 1 species